UACGUAGGGUGCAAGCGUUAAUCGGAAUUACUGGGCGUAAAGCGUGCGCAGGCGGUUGUGUAAGACAGAUGUGAAAUCCCCGGGCUCAACCUGGGAACUGCAUUUGUGACUGCACAGCUGGAGUGCGGCAGAGGGGGAUGGAAUUCCGCGUGUAGCAGUGAAAUGCGUAGAUAUGCGGAGGAACACCGAUGGCGAAGGCAAUCCCCUGGGCCUGCACUGACGCUCAUGCACGAGAGCGUGGGGAGCAAACAGG
rnacentral:rRNA from 1 species